rnacentral:rRNA from 1 species
GACGAACGCUGGCGGCGUGCUUAACACAUGCAAGUCGAACGGAAAGGCCCUGCUUUUGUGGGGUGCUCGAGUGGCGAACGGGUGAGUAACACGUGAGUAACCUGCCCUUGACUUUGGGAUAACUUCAGGAAACUGGGGCUAAUACCGGAUAGGAGCUCCUGCUGCAUGGUGGGGGUUGGAAAGUUUCGGCGGUUGGGGAUGGACUCGCGGCUUAUCAGCUUGUUGGUGGGGUAGUGGCUUACCAAGGCUUUGACGGGUAGCCGGCCUGAGAGGGUGACCGGGCACAUUGGUACUGAGAGACGGCCCAGACUCCUACGGGAGGCAGCAGUGGGGAGUAUUGCACAAUGGGCGGAAGCCUGAUGCAGCAACGCCGCGUGCGGGAUGACGGCCUUCGGGUUGUAAACCGCUUUCGCCUGUGACGAAGCGUGAGUGACGGUAAUGGGUAAAGAAGCACCGGCUAACUACGUG